AAGUGCUCUACCACUGAGCCUCACCCCAGCCCUGUUCUCUUCAAAGUUUAAGGAUAGGGCUUGGGUUGUGGCUCAGUGGUAGAGCACU
rnacentral:pre_miRNA from 1 species